rnacentral:rRNA from 1 species
CCUACGGGAGGCAGCAGUGAGGAAUAUUGGUCAAUGGGCGCGAGCCUGAACCAGCCAAGUAGCGUGAAGGAUGACUGCCCUACGGGGUGUAAACUGCUGUUAUAAAGGAAUAAAGUGAGGCACGUGUGCCUUUUUGUAUGUACUUUAUGAAUAAGGAUCGGCUAACUCCGUGCCAGCAGCCGCGGUAAUACGGAGGAACCGAGCGUUAUCCGGAUUUAGUGGGGUUAAAGGGAGCGUAGAUGGGUUGUUAAGUCAGUUGUGAAAGUUUGCGGCUCAACCGUAAAAUUGCAAUUGAUACUGGCAGUCUUGAUUACAGUUGCGUUCGUCGGAAUUCGUGGUGUAGCGGUGACAUGCUUAGCUAUCCC